UUUUUUUUUUUUUUUUUUAAAGAGAGCAGGUCUUGCCAUGUGGCCCAGGCUGGUCUCCAACUCCUGGGCUCAGGUAACGUCCCACAGUGGCCUUGCAAAGUGCUGGGAUUACAGGCAUGAGCCACCACCCCUGGCAAAUUUUUUAAUUUUUUGUAGAGAUAGGGUCUCGCUAUGUUGCCCAGUCUAGUCAUGAACUCCUGAGUUCAAGCAAUCAGCCCACCUUGGCCUCCCAAAGUGUUGAGAUUACAGGUGUUGGGCCACCACACUUGGCCUAGAAAUCAUUUUCCAGGCACGGUGGCUCAUGCCUAUAAUCCCGGCACUUUGGGAGGCGAGGCGGGUGGAUCACCUGAGGUCAGAAGUUCGAGACCAGCCUGGCCAACGUGGUGAAACACUGUCUUUACUAAAAAUACAAAAAUUAGUCAGGUGUGGUGGUGGGUGCCUGUAAUCCCAGCUACUUGGGAGGCUGAGCCUGGGGUGGCUGCUGUGAUACUUGCUCCCUGCCUGGGGCCUCUGUGCCACCCUCGGCCACCAGGGAGGGCACCUUGCAGACACCUGGGCUGGGCCCGCAUCCAGGGAGAAACACAUCUCUCCAAAACCACGUGCUUUUUUUUUUUUUGAGACAGCAUUCCUCCGUCGCCAGGCUGGAGAGCAGUGGCAGGAUCUCGGCUCACUGCAACUUCCGCCUCCCGGGUUCAAGUGAUUCUCCUGUCUCAGCCUCCCAGGUAGCUGGGAUUAGAGGCACCCACCACUACGCCCAACUAAUUUUUUGUAUUUUUAGUAGGGACGAGGGUUUCGCCAUGUUGGCCAGGCUGGUCUCGAACUCCUGACCGCAUGAUUCACCCACCUCGGCCUCCCAAAGUGCUGGGAUUACAAGCGUGAGCCACUGCGCCCGGCCGAAACCAGGUGCUUUUCCUCACGACCUGUGCAGGCCGGGCCUAAGGCAACCGGGACCCCUCAGCCUCCCCCCUCCUGACCAGGAGAUGCACCCUGGAGGGAGAGGGCCUCUGAUGCCCACAGUGGCAGGGAUGUGUGGGGUGGCUGCAGGUGAGCCUUCUGGGUCCCUGGCCAUUGGGGGCCCUGAGACCCCCUCAGAGGUGUGGGGACCCGUGGUGAGAUGGGGCUGGGUUUCUCAACGCUGCAGGCGGAGCAGUGGGGGGUCGGAGGCCCCAACCCACCUUCUUAUGGACCUGCCCAGAACAGCUGCAGAGGGAACAGGACAGGCGGGCGCAUGGCCUCUGCUCAGGGCAGGGUCCUCCCUGCUUUCCCCAGCACUGUUUGGCUGUCGUCUGCAUCCUAACUCACACCAGGCCCUCCUCGGUGCAGACAGGACCCCAGGCCCACGGGGACCCUUCUAGCCACAGCAGCACCUCACAGGGACAGGGUGGAAGCCCAGGGUCCGUGUGACAGCAUCACGUCACUGAGCCCUGCUGGGCUGGGCCCCCCCACAGAAGGAACCAAGUUGUAGAGGGGAUGGGGACAAGCAGCAAGGGCGGCGCGGGAGGCUGGGGUCCAUGGGAGGCUGAGCCGGUGGAGAGGCCUCUCAGCAUGGCCUCCUCUGGCACCCACGCCCAGGGUCCUUCCCCUCCUAGCUGGCCACAACUCACUGGGGCAGUGGCCCAAGACAGCCCGUCACCUGGCCUGCUCCCUCCCCGGGACACGGCUCCGGCGCCAUCCAUGCCCACCGCAGACGGUGUGCAACGGUGCCUGCUGCCCACAGGGUUUAUGCCCCCCGACCUUCCCCACAGAGGCGUGGACCCUGGCUGUCCGUAGGGUGAGCCUGUGUCCUCCACUCCCGUCCUGCCAGGCGGCCUUGGCUGGGACGGGGAGGAGCUGCCACCAGCGGGGCCAGGGCUGCUACUAACCAGUAAAUCGUGUAGGCCUCUGCUUGAGCUGGGUCUUGGAUAUUUGGUUCAUUUAGAAGUUCCUGUAUUCCUAAUAGGAUCUGUGCCAGAGACAAAAACACAAGACGGGUGUGAGCAGUUUGAAAGGGAGACACCGUGAGACUCGGCCUCAGCCACAGAGAAUGACCACAGACCCACGUGUCCGGAGGGGAGACUAAGGCAGCCCUGCCGGUGCCAGAGGCGGAGGCCCCGUACCUGUUUGAUUGUGAUGGCUGGCCUCCAGUCCUUGUCCUCCUCUAAGAUGGACAGGCACACUGUCCCCGAAGGGUACACAUUCGGGUGAAAUAAUGGUGGUUCGAAUUUACCUGGAGGAAGAGGAAGAAAGGAAGCACUUUUUGGAGGCAGGCACUGUCCCAGAGUCACGUCCUUCCCCACAUCACCCUCCUCCCAACACUGGGGCCCCGGGUUGGUAGCCAGGUUAUUUGGCCAAAAACUUUUCAAAAAAAUUAAAUUGUGGCCAUGAGGAGACUAAAGGAAGACAUAUCCACCUUUGCACACAGGGAACAGAGCCUUGGGGACACGGCCGCAGCCGAGACGAAGCUGUGUCUCUCCCAGGACAGAACUCCCAGCACAGCCAGGCAGUCUGGGAACACAGGCCCCAGGGUGGCCACUUAACCUGUGGCCCCCACAUCCUUUCCAGCUGGGCCAGACUCAGGGGAGAUGGGAGGAGCUGCAGGAGACGUCCAGGGACAUAGCCAACGCCCUUCCAGAGUCGGCUGUUCCGACGCAGACCCUCUGCUUCCAGGAUAUACGGGCUUUUAGGACCCUGUGUUAUUUCUUUACAAAAAAGCAGAAAAGUUUGCCACCAUUAGCCCCACCAGGGACCAUCACAGUUGAUAUUCUAGGCUAUUUCCCAUCUUUUACCUGGGCAUCCUCCCUCUUCUCUCUCAAUGCUACGGAAGGACACACAGUGCGGCAUGUCUAGUGCAGCCGGAGGAAUUACCAGAAAGCCAACGCGCCACGAACACCUACAGCUUCCCCGAACACUCGCUCCUACCGACCACUGCAUCUGCCCCGUAAUCCCAACUGCAACAUCCGCAGGCAGCUUCCUGGACUUCAGGUACCAUGGAGAUGCACAGGGCACACUCCCUGGGGAACGCGAAGACACCACCGCAGACCGUCCCACACCGCGACCAUCCCACACCGCAGGAGCACACGGGCGACACCAGCAGCUGCGUGGCUGUCCUGAGUGCGAACACGCGUGAGCGCGCUGCUGUGGAAUGUGGGGUGACGGUGUUGGCCCUCAAGCCGUGCUGCUUCCAGGCUGCUCACGCAGGCUGCGUCGCUGGCGGAUUCCAGCCACCGGGUGAGGUGCACGGCAGCCACUCCGUGGUGCUACGCUGCGCCUGCUGGUGACCGCUGAGCGCCCCUUUCGGCCCAGGCUGCUUCCUGGCGACUGCUUCGCAGAAGUUCCUCAAGCGAUACGUCUUACAGGGCUCUUCUGCUUGGGGCUUGACUUUUUGCUUUUUUAAUUUUUUGAGAUGGAGUUUCACUGUGGUGCCCAGGCUGGAUCUCGGCUCACUGCAGCCUUCACCUCCCGGGCUCAAGUGAUUCUCCCGCCUCACCUUGGCCUCCAGAGUAGCUGAGGUUACAGGCACCCGCCAUCAAGCUUGGCCAAUUUUUCUAUUUUAUUAGAACCGGGGUUCCUCCACUGUUGGUCAGGCUGGUCUCAAACUCCUGACCUUAAGUGAUUCACUUGCCUUGGCCUCCCAAAGUGCUGGGAUCACAGGUGUGAGCCAACGCGCCCGGCCCGACCUUUUCCUCUUCUAAGGGAAUCUUUUGGCAAAAACAAAAAUUGCCUAAUUUCAAUUUAAUCUGAUUCUCAAUCUCGUUUCUUCUGCCGAUCACAACUUACCCGCAGAAAGGCACAGAUGCUGGAUGCCAGCACUGCCAGGUCCACCUGUCCCUCCCAAGGUAGAGGCUGCCUCCUACUUCCUCAUGGCCUCCGGCUUGGCCGCUCCCGCGCUUCAAAGAAGGAACACAAAGGGGGUGCCCUCCUGUCUGGACUGUCCGCCAGGCAUCAUGUGGCCUCUUCACUCUUCCCUACCUGUCAUCCUAGGACGUCUGGGCUGGGGCAAGUGGGGGUGACACCGGCACCCAUCUGUGCCUCUGGUGGACACAUGUAUGUGCUUCUGUGAAUCUCGACUGACUCAAGUGAACAGCCAGGUCCUACAGCAUGAGCUCAGCUUCCACUGGUGUGGCAGGCAGCGUCCAGGGGAAACGUUCAGAACAUCCGCUCUCUCCAGCGGUGGCUGAGGCUCCCGCUGCCCUGCGCCGCGGCUCCGUCUGCUCCCCUGUGCGCUACGGCAGAUCCCACUGGGGAGGCUUUCACUCUUUGGCAAAGCCAGGCAUCCCUGCCGCAUUUGCUGGCUGGGUGGAGGCCUUUCCUGUGAGGGACACGCUGGACGUCAUGGCAGCCUUCUUACUGAUUCCCAGGAGCUCUUGGUAGAUUCAGGGUGAGGGCUGAGGUACGUACAUACACUGUAGUGUGCCCUCCUGCCCGGCGCCAACUGCAGUCUUUAUGAUAAAGAGAGAUUCUUAAUUUCAACUUAGUCAACUCGUCAAUCUCCCUCCGGCCAGCACUUCAC
rnacentral:lncRNA from 1 species